rnacentral:rRNA from 1 species
CAACCUGCCGCUUACUCGGGGAUAGCCUUUCGAAAGAAAGAUUAAUACCCGAUGGUAUAAAGAGUUCNCANGUUCUCUUUAUUAAAGAAUUUCGGUAAGCGAUGGGGAUGCGUUCCAUUAGAUUGUUGGCGGGGUAACGGCCCACCAAGUCUACGAUGGAUAGGGGUUCUGAGAGGAAGGUCCCCCACAUUGGAACUGAGACACGGUCCAAACUCCUACGGGAGGCAGCAGUGAGGAAUAUUGGUCAAUGGACGAGAGUCUGAACCAGCCAAGUAGCGUGAAGGAUGACUGCCCUAUGGGUUGUAAACUUCUUUUAUAAGGGAAUAAAGUGAGGGACGUGUCCCUUUUUGUAUGUACCUUAUGAAUAAGGAUCGGCUAACUCCGUGCCAGCAGCCGCGGUAAUACGGAGGAUCCAAGCGUUAUCCGGAUUUAUUGGGUUUAAAGGGAGCGUAGGUUGACGUAUAAGUCAGCUGUGAAAGUUUACGGCUCAACCGUGAAAUUGCAGUUGAUACUGUAUGUCUUGAGUGUACAAGAGGUGGGCGGAAUUCGUGGUGUAGCGGUGAAAUGCUUAGAUAUCACGAAGAACUCCGAUUG